AGACAGACUUUCCUGGAGCAGCACACAGCAGCUAAUUUCCAAUCCGUCUUUCUGCAAUGAAACUUCUUUGGUCAAUACUCAUUGUCCUAUCUGCCUCCUCCUCAUGUGUCCUCUCACAAGUGGUUCUGACCUAGGCAGAUUCGGUGUUAACAAAACCUGGAGAAUCCCAUAAGUUGGCCUGUGCCACCAGUGGAAUCACUCUUAGCACCACCUGGAUGGAGUGGGUCAGACAGAAGCCAGGCAAAGGAUUGGAAUGGCUUGUUGAGUAUCUUAAUGCUGGGAGCAACUAUUAUUCCCCUACUAUCCAGGGGCGAUUCACUGCCUCUAAGGACAGCACCAACUUCUAUCUGCAAAUGAACAACCUCAAAGCAGAAGACACUGCAGUCUAUUACUGUGCAAGCGACACAGUGAAAGGGAUCCCAGCAGACCUCUGACAAAAUCCCUUGGCUGCAUGAACUUGAGAACAAAGUCACCAGAGGGGGCAGAGGAAAGCCACAAAUGAGAGACUUGUAAUAUAGAAGGGCUAUACAAAAAGACAGGAAGAUUAAUCACUUUGUGCUUACACCCAGAUUCAAUCUUUGAGUGUGUACAAGUAUAUAUACAUAGAUGCUUAUUUCAGUUUGUUUCAGGUGUUCAAUAAAAAAAUGUUCAUUCAAAUGAUCGAACAAAAUAAAAACAGAUCGUUAUAAA